UUCCCGGGCCUUGUACACACCGCCCGUCACACCACGAAAGUCGGCAAUACCCGAAGCCGGUGGCCUAACCCGCAAGGGAGGGAGCCGUCGAAGGUGGGGUCGAUGAUUGGGGUG
rnacentral:rRNA from 1 species